rnacentral:rRNA from 1 species
UACGACUACAUAUCAGGCAUAUCAAUAAGCGGAGGAAAAGAAACUAACUAGGAUUCCCUCAGUAACGGCGAGUGAAGCGGGAAGAGCUCAAAUUUGAAAUCUUCAAGGUUUUACCUUGACGAAUUGUAGUUUAAAGAAGUGUUUUCUGUUGGUGUUUUGGUAAAAGUUCUUUGGAAUAGGACAUCAUAGAGGGUGAGAAUCCCGUAUUUGACCAUUACUUCCAGCGUUGUGAUACACUUUCAAAGAGUCGGAUUGUUUGGGAAUGCAGUCCAAAAUGGGUGGUAAAUUUCAUCUAAAGCUAAAUAUUGGCGAGAGACCGAUAGCGAACAAGUACCGUGAGGGAAAGAUGAAAAGAACUUUGAAAAGAGAGUUAAACAGUACGUGAAAUUGUCAAAAGGGAAGCGUUUGACACCAGUGUUGUUUUCUCGAAAAUCAAUUAAAAAGUAUGGGAUUUUGUAUUGUUAAGACCUUAUCAGCUUACGGUACUUUUUUCUUAUUCUUUUUAAUGCACUUUUCGUUUAACAAGUCAACAUCAAUUUCUUUUGUUGUAAAAGAGUCAUUGGAAGGUGGCUUUCACUUCGGUGAAAGUGUUUAUAGCCUUUGGCUCCUAGCAAUCGGAGAGAUUGAGGUCUGCAGCGUAGAUCCUUCGGGGUUAGAUACGUAGAUGCUAAGUUAUAGUUUUUCAUAGACAACUUGUUGACUAUGAUUAAUCAUGUAGCUUACUCGUUUGCGCUAUUUUACCUACGCUUAGGAUGUUGAAUCUGUGCGAGACUAC